rnacentral:rRNA from 1 species
GAUGAACGCUAGCUACAGGCUUAACACAUGCAAGUCGAGGGGCAGCGGUAUCGAAAGCUUGCUUUCGGUAGCCGGCGACCGGCGCACGGGUGAGUAACGCGUAUCGAACCUGCCUCAUACUCGGGAAUAGCCUUGCGAAAGUAAGAUUAAUGCCCGGUGUUUUCAGAGUCCCGCAUGAGGCUUUGAACAAAGAUUUAUCGGUAUGAGAUAGCGAUGCGUCCCAUUAGCUUGUUGGCGGGGUAACGGCCCACCAAGGCAUCGAUGGGUAGGGGUUCUGAGAGGAAGGUCCCCCACAUUGGAACUGAGACACGGUCCAAACUCCUACGGGAGGCAGCAGUGAGGAAUAUUGAUCAAUGGGCGGAAGCCUGAACCAGCCAAGUAGCGUGCAGGAAGACGGCACUCCGGGUUGUAAACUGCUUUUAGUUGGGAAGAAAACGGGGCUCGUGAGCCCCCUUGCAUGUACCAUCAGAAAAAGGACCGGCUAAUUCCGUG